UACGUAGGGGGCUAGCGUUGUCCGGAAUCAUUGGGCGUAAAGCGCGCGUAGGCGGCCCGGUAAGUCCGCUGUAAAAGUCCAGGGCUCAACCCUGGAAAGCCGGUGGAUACUGUCGGGCUCGAGUCCGGAAGAGGCAGGCGGAAUUCCGGGUGUAGCGGUGGAAUGCGUAGAGAUCCGGAAGAACACCGGUGGCGAAGGCGGCCUGCUGGGCAGUGGCUGACACUGAGGCGCGACAGCGUGGGGAGCAAACAGG
rnacentral:rRNA from 1 species